AAGUAAAAGUCGUAACAAGGUUUCCGUAGGUGAACCUGCGGAAGGAUCAUUAUCGUACAAUGGAGGUGCUGGGGUUGUCGCUGACUUUUGAAAGGGUCGUGCACACCUCGGUGCUCUCGCACAUAAUCCAUCUCACCCCUUUUGUGCAUCACCGCGUGGGGACCCCUUUUGGCUAGUUCUGAGGGGGGUUUUCACGUUUUUACACAGACACCCUUUUAAUGCAAUGUGUAGAAUGUCUUACUUUUUGCGAUCACACGCAAUCAAUGAGUCAUCGAAUCUUUGAACGCACCUUGCGCCCUUUGGCAUUCCGAGGGGCACACCCGUUUGAGUGUCGUGACAUCCUCAAAACCUUCUUGGUUUCUUGACCGGGAAGGCUUUUGGACUUUGGAGGCUUUUGCUGGCCUUCCUUUGUUGGAGCCAGCUCCUCUGAAAUGAAUUAGUGGGGUCUGCUUUGCCGAUCCUUGACGUGAUAAGAUGUUUUCUACGUCUUGGGUUUCNCNCUGUUCGAUCUGGAUCCUGCUUCUAACUGUCUCAUAGAAGACAAUGGUCAAGUGAUUGCCACUUGACCCACAAACCUUGACCUCAAAUCGGGUGAGACUACCCGCUGAACUUAAGCAUAUCAAUAAGCGGAGGAAG
rnacentral:rRNA from 1 species